rnacentral:rRNA from 1 species
AAUACGUUCCCGGGCCUUGUACACACCGCCCGUCAAGCCAUGGAAGCUGGGAGUACCUGAAGUGCGUAACCGCAAGGAGCGUUCUAGGGUAAAAUCGGUAACUGGGGCU